rnacentral:misc_RNA from 1 species
UACGAAGGGUGCAAACGUUGCUCGGAAUCAUUGGGCGUAAAGCGCACGUAGGCGGCCUAGUAAGUCGGAUGUGAAAUCCCUCGGCUCAACCGAGGAAGUGCAUCCGAGACUGCCGGGCUUGAGUAUGGAAGAGGGUCGCAGAAUUCCCGGUGUAGAGGUGAAAUUCGUAGAGAUCGGGAGGAAUACCAGUGGCGAAGGCGGCGACCUGGGCCAAUACUGACGCUGAGGUGCGAAAGCGUGGGGAGCAAACAGG